AACAGUUGAGACGAUAGACAGGGAGCCAGCCAGAAACAUUUCUUAAAUCUCCGCCUUUGCCUCUUUCAAACUGUAUGCCCUAGGUGGUAUGGCAGAGUUCCAGGCCCAGCGGCUGCUCCCUGCACCUGCCCCCUCCACAUCCAAUUUCUUUGCAAUGGCCUAAAAAGCUAACCAAGCUGAAAUAGCUCAUUCCAAGGCUCUCAAACUCCGGCACCAUUAUUCAGUGUUUGCAGAGGCCUAGCCUCAUCCCUGCCACUCACCAUUUCCCAUCUGUUGGGAGCACUUGGCUGUGGUAUCUUCGAUGCUCACCGUCCCGUUGGGCUUGAGGAUAAGAGCCCCAGCCUAGGAUGAGGUGCCACCCAUAGUGGGCCGGUCUUCCCACUUCUUUCAGCACAAUCAGGAAAAUACCCACAGGUGUGCCCAGAGCUCCAGCUCCAAGUUGACAAUGACCACCAAGCAAGCACAAGACUCCAGCUAAUUUGUCAGCGCAUUAGGAUGCAAGAAGACACUUUACUCUCAGCAGAUGUCACACCAUGCUCUUGGACUACCCAGCUUUUCAAACCAUGAGCUUAAUAAAUCUCUACUCUCUAUCAGUUA